rnacentral:rRNA from 1 species
UACGUAGGGUGCGAGCGUUAUCCGGAAUUAUUGGGCGUAAAGAGCUCGUAGGCGGUUUGUCGCGUCUGCCGUGAAAGUCCGGGGCUCAACUCCGGAUCUGCGGUGGGUACGGGCAGACUAGAGUGAUGUAGGGGAGACUGGAAUUCCUGGUGUAGCGGUGGAAUGCGCAGAUAUCAGGAGGAACACCGAUGGCGAAGGCAGGUCUCUGGGCCACUACUGACGCUGAGAAGCGAAAGCAUGGGGAGCGAACAGG